rnacentral:misc_RNA from 1 species
CUGAAGGUGGAGACGACCUUGGAGGAGUCCACCGAGCUUUGGAUCUUGUUGUCCCGCGGAAGCGACGGCGUGGACCACCGCACGGUGGAGGUGGGCUUGGACGGCUUGGACACAGUGUUCUCCUUCCCAACGACGGUGGAGGUGGUGCGGCUUGGGCAUGGUGUUCUCCUUCCCGGCAGCGGCGGAGGUGGCGCCCGCAGGCUGCCGUGGAUGAGCACGGGGCUGGUCCUGCGUCAGGGAGCUCUCGUCCUUCCUCGGAGAUUGGGGCGAGGCAGAGGAGGAGGUGGUGAUUUGUGUGGCGAGACGAGCGAGGGAUGCUCAUGGAGGGAAGGAUCCAAUCGUGGGUGCUGA